GACGGGGGGUGCAAGCGUUGUUCGGAAUUACUGGGCGUAAAGAGCGUGUAGGCGGUUAAUUAAGCCGGAUGUGAAAGCCCUUGGCUUAACCAAGGAAGUGCAUCCGAAACUGGUUGACGUGAGUACGGGAGAGGAGAGUGGAAUUCCUGGAGUAGAGGUGAAAUUCGUAGAUCUCAGGAGGAACACCGGUGGCGAAGGCGACUCUCUGGACCGAUACUGACGCUGAGACGCGAAAGCGUGGGGAGCAAACAGG
rnacentral:rRNA from 1 species